AGGAGGAACAGCCCCAGUGGCGGGGCAGCUCUGGAAACCUGGAUUCAGCCCCCGCAGGAACUCCAGAGCUCUCGGUCUGCAGGGCCUGGAGGCUCCGGGCGGGG
rnacentral:pre_miRNA from 1 species